rnacentral:tRNA from 1 species
UCUUGGGUGGCCUAGUGGUAAAGAAUCUGCCUGCAAUGCAGGAGACCUGGGUUCGAUCCCUGGGUUGGGAA